CGUACACUCCUGCGGGAGGCAGCAGUGGGGAAUAUUGCACAAUGGGCGCAAGCCUGAUGCAGCGACGCCGCGUGGGGGAUGAAGGCCUUCGGGUUGUAAACUCCUUUCGCUAGGGACGAAGCUUUUUUGUGACGGUACCUAGAUAAGAAGCACCGGCUAACUACGUGCCAGCAGCCGCGGUAAUACGUAGGGUGCGAGCGUUGUCCGGAAUUACUGGGCGUAAAGGGCUCGUAGGUGGUUUGUCGCGUCGUCUGUGAAAUUCUGGGGCUUAACUCCGGGCGUGCAGGCGAUACGGGCAUAACUUGAGUGCUGUAGGGGUAACUGGAAUUCCUGGUGUAGCGGUGAAAUGCGCAGAUAUCAGGAGGAACACCGAUGGCGAAGGCAGGUUACUGGGCAGUUACUGACGCUGAGGAGCGAAAGCAUGGGUAGCGAACAGGAUUAGAUACCCUAGUAGUCCCAUGA
rnacentral:rRNA from 1 species